GGGGGUGCUCUGGCUUCGACGGGGGUCGCGAAAUCGUCUGGUGCAUGCCGAGGGGGUGACUUUCCUCGUUAAUCCAGUCGCAAACUCAUAGUUGCCAACGACGACAACUACGCUCUCGCCGCUUAAGGCGUAGCCCCGAACCCACUUGUGCCCGUGCUCGUGGAUGUAGGGUCAUCAUCACGGGAUCGCCGGUGGCGGCUGCCUGUCAGCCAUCGGUCAACCCAAAACAGGCUGGUUCCGCCGCGCGCUUCGCACACCGUGCUGCGUCGGGACGAGAUCCAACGGUGAGCUAAGCAUGUAGGACCGGAGAUGGAGUGCCUUCGGACGGGGGUUCGACUCCCCCCACCUCCACCA
rnacentral:tmRNA from 1 species